rnacentral:rRNA from 1 species
GACAGAGGUCCCGAGCGUUAGGCGGAAUCACUGGGCUUAAAGCGUGUGUAGGCGGCGGCCUAAGUACCUUGUGAAAUCCCACGGCUCACCCGUGGAACUGCUCGGUAUACUGGGUCGCUUGAGCCACUUAGGGGCUACCGGAACAAAUGGUGGAGCGGUGAAAUGCGUAGAUAUCAUUUGGAACGCCAAUGGUGAAAACAGGUAGCUGGGAGUGUGCUGACGCUGAGACACGAAAGCCAGGGGAGGCAAACGGG